UACGGGGGGGGCAAGCGUUGUUCGGAAUUACUGGGCGUAAAGGGCUCGUAGGCGGCCAACUAAGUCAGACGUGAAAUCCCUCGGCUUAACCGGGGAACUGCGUCUGAUACUGGAUGGCUUGAGUUUGGGAGAGGGAUGCGGAAUUCCAGGUGUAGCGGUGAAAUGCGUAGAUAUCUGGAGGAACACCGGUGGCGAAGGCGGCGAUCCUGGACCAACACUGACGCUGAGGACGAAGCCAG
rnacentral:rRNA from 1 species